rnacentral:tRNA from 1 species
GCUCACGUAGCUCAAAUGGACAGAGCUUCACCCUGUCAAGGUGAGAGAUGCGGGUUCGAAUCCCGUCGCGAGCGCCA